AGCCUCCCGAGUAGCUGGGACUGCAGGCGCCCGACACGACGCCCAGCUAAUUUUUUGUGUUUUUAGUAGAGACGGGGGUUUCACCGUGUUAGCCAGGAUGGUCUGGAUCUCCUGACCUCGUGAUCCGCCCGCCUCGGCCUCCCAAAGUGCUGGGAUUACAGGCGUGAGCCACCGCGCCCGGCCCCUCAUAAGGCCAAAGACGGCUAUGUUUUUAAAGGAACUACAGUAUCUUAUCGUUCUGAUGGUCUGGAAGUUUAUAUUCACAUCCAAGAAUUCUUCCUGCUUCUCCGAAAACUCAUCCUUUGCUUUAUUACUCUUCAUGGGAAUAAGGAAACAGCUGUGCAGUAUAAGUUAUGUGCUCUUUCUUUUCUUCUUGACAACUAUUAUCAACUCAUUCUUACCGAAAAAUGACUUAAUAAACUUCUCUCUUCUAGCCUCUUUUAAAAGAUCUAUGUAGUUUCCAAAACUCUUAAACACUGUAGGAACUUUUUCAAAGCCUAUUUCAAAUUGGGGUCUGUAUCAGAUGUAAUAAUCUUUAGAAAACCUGAUCAAUAUUAAUUAUUUAGACAUGAUACCCUCCUCAUUUCUAAUUAGCAAAUGUUUUAUUUUUUUCUUUGUAUUUGAUAUGAGCACUUUAUGCACCCUUUACCCCACACCCCAACAAAUCUAAGAAAAUAAAUUAUGGGCCCAGACAUUUUAUUGAUUUUAAAAUUAACUUAUUAAUCCGUGAAAAGCCUAAAAUGAGAAAGGUAAAAAACCCAGGUCAUAAUAUAUCCUAGAAAUUCCUCUUUUAAAAAUAUCCCAUAUUUUGUUCAAUGGAUUCCCAUGUUUCUAAUGAAAAAGAAACACCAAUUUUUCCACUCAAUUUCAAUAUUAAGAAAAAAGGCAGGGGAGAAUACUUUCUAUGGGAAAAAGAUGCCAAAUUGCAUGGGUUUGAAAACAUUUGAUUCCAGAAGACAUUAUGAGAUCAGUCUAUUCUGAGAUGUCCUCAGAGUUAUCCCUGAGCUGUCUGCAACCUGACCUUUCAGUUGUUGAUACCAGUUGUUUGUGUCCUUGUUUGAUUGUUCCUUUUCCUCCCUAUCACUUAUGACGAAAGUUACAUUGUUCUUAAUCCUAGGAUCUUAUCUAAAUUAUUUGCCGUUCCACUAAACCUCAACAUUUUUUUGCUCAGGCUUUCGAUAGUUUGAACUCCCAACUUAAAAAUUCUGUAAUUUUUUUCCAUCUUUCAUUGUUUAUUGUUAUAUGCUUUUAUUUAGAAACCAUAGAUUCUAACAAGAAAUCAGGAUUAAAAUUGCGGGUCUGAAACUAAUGAGCUGUUUGAACUUGGGCAAGUUCCUUAACCUUGUUGAACUUCAGUUUCUUCAUCUAUAAAAUGGAAAAAUCAAUAUCUAUCUCAUAAUAUUGGUGUGAGUAGCAAGUGAAAUAAUGUGUAUAAAGGAAUAAGAAUGGUGCUGGCAUUGUUAAAUCUAAAAAUACUAGUUUGCCUUCUCAUUCCUCAUUGAUUUCCUUUUUCAAGCUAAAACUGGAUUUCACUUUGUCAGAAGCAACUGGAAUAUAAUGUGCAGAAGAAUA
rnacentral:lncRNA from 10 species